rnacentral:rRNA from 1 species
CCUACGGGAGGCAGCAGUGGGGAAUAUUGGACAAUGGGGGCAACCCUGAUCCAGCCAUGCCGCGUGUGUGAAGAAGGCCCUCGGGUUGUAAAGCACUUUCAGCGAGGAAGAACGCCUAGCGGUUAAUACCCGCUAGGAAAGACAUCACUCGCAGAAGAAGCACCGGCUAACUCCGUGCCAGCAGCCGCGGUAAUACGGAGGGUGCAAGCGUUAAUCGGAAUUACUGGGCGUAAAGCGCGCGUAGGUGGCUUGAUAAGCCGGUUGUGAAAGCCCCGGGCUCAACCUGGGAUGGUCAUUUAGAACUGGCAGACUAGAGUCUUGGAGAGGGGAGUGGAAUUCCAGGUGUAGCGGUGAAAUGCGUAGAUAUCUGGAGGAACAUCAGUGGCGAAGGCGACUCCCUGGCCAAAGACUGACGCUCAUGUGCGAAAGUGUGGGUAGCGAACAGGAUUAGAUACCCUGGUAGUCCACACCGUAAACGCUGUCUACUAGCUGUGUGUGUCUUUAAGACGUGCGUAGCGAAGCUAACGCGCUAAGUAGACCGCCUGGGGAGUACGGCCGCAAGGUUAAAACUCAAAUGAAUUGCCGGA